GGGUAGGUGCCCGAGUGGUUAAAGGGGGCGGACUGUAAAUCCGCUGGCGCAAGCCUACAGUGGUUCAAAUCCACUCCUGCCCACCA
rnacentral:tRNA from 1 species